rnacentral:lncRNA from 1 species
UUAAUAUCUAUUAAUACUAUAAUUUAUUCUACAUAUGGAUAUCCUUAAUCCAUGUCAUAAUUUUACAUAAGACAAAUUAUAUAGAUGGGCAUUGUGAUAUGGAAAUCACUUUAAAAAUUCACAGCAUAUACAUUAAACCCAUGGUUAUAGGAUCUUCAAACCUUUAUCUUACUAGCAUAUCAUUGGGAAUACCUCAAUCUAUACCUCAUGAGAGAUCACCAUCCUACCAUCUAAAAGCCUUCGGUCCUUCAGAGGAAGCUCAUACAUGAUGAGGAGACAGGGGAAAACAGAAUAAAAGACUUGCCCAGGAUCACAUGGCUGAAGCUCAAUUUGAACUCACAUCUCCCUGACUCCAGACCAGUGAUAUCCUAAAAAAAUUCCAGCAUAUACAACAACCACAAGAGAGGA